rnacentral:lncRNA from 12 species
GUCCUGGGGCCGCCGGGGCUCCGCGGGCGCUGUCGUGGGCAACCCGGGCCCCCUUCGUGCGGGACCCGGGGCUGCCCGCUGCCAUCGCUCCCGGAGCGCCCCCGGGGCGCGGAGGGCGCGGGGACCCGGGCACGGGCUGCUGGGGACGCCCCGGAGCCCUUGUGGAUGCCGGCAGGCCCUCCCUCGGCCCGCGGGAACGCGGUGAACACCUGGGUCGGCUCAAGCCCGCGGGUGGGCGCCGGGACGCGGGGGAGGGCCGUGGCACCGCGUGGCACCGCGUGGCCCGCACCCGCGCGCUCCCCUGCCCCCUCCCGCGCCCCCCCUGCGCGCCCGACUGUCAGGCGGUCCGCAGCUCUCGGGGUGGCCAGGUGCGCUGUGCACGGGGCUGGGGAGCCCCUCCCAGGUGGAGGAGCCCCGGGGGACCAUCCCACGCCACACACAGCGACUCGGGGCCUGACCGUUUAGGAGACCCACCGUGUUUUACUUCUGCCGAUGUCGUCCUCCGGGAGCCGUAGCCCCACAGCCAGUGCCGGGGACAGGGGCCGGGCUCGGCCCGCAGGACGUCAGGCCCGCAGAUUAAAAAGAACCAAAAGCCUUCCCUGGGCGUCCUCGGCCAUCUCUAGGUCAGUCCGUCUAGAAGCAUCCGAAGUGUGGGGGGAUGG